rnacentral:rRNA from 1 species
UACAGAGGUCCCGAGCGUUGUUCGGAUUCACUGGGCGUAAAGGGCGCGUAGGCGGUCGUGACAAGUCACUUGUGAAAUCUCCGGGCUUAACUCGGAACGGUCAAGUGAUACUGUCGGACUAGAGUACAGAAGGGGCAACUGGAAUUCUCGGUGUAGCGGUGAAAUGCGUAGCUAUCGAGAGGAACACCUGCGGCGAAGGCGGGUUGCUGGGCUGAUACUGACGCUGAGGCGCGAAAGCCAAGGGAGCGAACGGG